CAUCCGAUUCUAUAAUAGACUUUGGAAGAGUGCGGAACCCGAAAGUUUACCCAGGAGUCAGUCGCCAGCUGCUACUCGUGGCGAAAUCACGCUUUCUUCAGACUAUCGCAGACCCAGUUUCCCCCUUGAAUAAACCGCUAACAUCCGAUCGGAUCCCAGUGCCUUGGAACCUUCAUUAAAAAGGGAAAAGAUACAGGAUCGAAGCAAAGCCUACUCUAAGCGGUGGGCGACCCACUCACGGUUGAAUUAUAAACAACCUUUGAAUAAAUUCUUGUACAGGGGAUUUACGCAGUAACGAUCAGCUUCUAAGCCGAAACGAUUCGGUGCAGUGCAGCGGCUCAAGGGUAUGGCGAUAGACAUCAAGCUUUCCAAAUUCAAUAACAUCCCAUGGGGAUUCCGGCUUUCCGGUGGAGCGGAUUUUCCCCAUCCACUCACGGUUGUCAGGGUGGCCCGGGGAAGUUUGGCCGACGAUGCCGGGCUGCAGCCAGGUGACGUCCUGAUAAGAGUCAACGACAGUCCUCUGCAGAAUCUGACACACGCACAGGCACACGAUUGGCUGGUGCGAGCCGGUAACAACUUCGUUCUCUCCGUCGUCCGCAAUCAUCGCAUCGCCAAAGAGGCCCAUUGACCUCCGGCCAUUCCUGAUCGUAAUUCUUGUCCGACCUCUCGUUCAGCUUUUCGAGACGGUCUCGGGAUGGAUUUAUAUUUUCCAAUGCUACAAGGGUACGAGACUCGAAAUGAGAAAAUAAUUCCCGGAUGGCGAUGUUGGUUAUUCAGAAAACCCCGCGCGGGUCGCAAAUAUUUUUAUAGUUAUGAUAUAAAGUGACUUUAUAGGAAGAUAAAAAAAAUAUAUUGCUAUAUACUUUUUCACUGUACGUAUUGUAGUUUGAUUCGUGUUCUAUAAUUCGUAAUUAGGUAGAUACGCAAUUAAUGUUGACAUCCUAUCUGUGAAUUGAGCGGGUCACAUAUUAUAAUGGACACGCCCGUAUUUUUCCAUAUCUCGUUCUGCGUGAAGAACGCAGAAUUUCCGUAUCAAUUGCAAUGAUCGUUUGAGCGAAUAUCCAGAUACGGAUUUGUUUGUGCAAUUAACGAUUUGCAGUUGACAAUAUUUGAUAUUCGCUGGUAGUGACUGAGCCAUUUAUUUACUGUCAUACUUUGAUGAAAAGUACCAUAAUCACGGUGACUGAUCUUGAUAACCCGCAUUAAAAUAACCCGUACAAAAAUAACCGGGCAUAAAUAACCCAACCACAAAUAAUCCGUGAUAAAAAAUUGACAAACAAUUAAAUUAUAUUAAUAUUAAAUUGAAUUUCACAUGUAUUGAUAUUUUUGUUUGGUCUAUUUGGUCCCAGUACUGAUAAUUACCGACCAACGGCUCAAAAAAUCGAUAUGUUGCAUUUUAAAUAUUUCAUUCAAAAACUUAGGUAACGGAAAAAUACUGGAGGCCGGUGACAGCCGUACCGUAAACAUGGCUAUACAGAACAAGCCUAGGGGGUGCGCUGGUCGAUUUCGACGUGACAUAUACAUAUAUCGCCGGAUAUUGCAGUCGACGUAUCUCAAACGCGUGAAAGGGUUCAACAGUCCCACUCCAUAAGCAAUUAUGAACAAAAACAUUCCAAUAUAUUUUCAUUCGACGCAGAAAUAAAGAAACGGCAUGGAUUCUACUAAUUUAAUAUUGCAAGCAAUUUCGUAGAAAGCACGCCGUUUCUUUACUUCUGCGUCGAAUGAAAAUGUAUUGGAAUUUUUUCGUUCACAAUUGCUUAUAGAGUUGGACUGAUGAACCCUUUUACGCGUUUGAAAUACGUAGACUUCGAUAUUUGGCGAUAUAUACGUCAACGUCAAAAUCGACCAGGGCACCCCCUUGAUCUUGUUCUGUAUACCUAGUCAUGUUUACGGUACGACCAGGGGGCACCCUCUUAAGCUUGACUUCAUUUUCCUUCUAUUGGUUGAAGAAACUUCUUUUAUGUGCUUAAGAUUUGUUGAUAUUACGUUCGUUCAAUAUGGGCCGGGGAUUCAGCGCAGAGUGCGAGCUUGGGAGAUAAGGGAUCCGUUGUUGCAUUUCAUUUGCUUGAAUUAAGAUCCGUUGAGUGAUAGAUCUAUAAUGUGCAGUUGGUAUACGUAGGCAUUCAGCUACUGUCAGUAUAUCCUACGUGUAUGAAUGAGCGUGCGUAAUUCGCAGCAAAAGAUUUUCUUUGAAAUCACUUACAGCCACAUGGAUAAAAAAAAAAAAAAACAGUGUGAGCGAGGUUGUAAAAAAUUUUCGCGACUCGAUUC
rnacentral:lncRNA from 1 species